CACAACCAUAGGCCUGAAACAAAAAGACUCCAAAAAUACAGAGAGCCAUUAAUCUGUAUCAGAUUCUUGCGUGCUCUCUCUCCCCAUCCAUCAUAUACAUGCAUGUUUUUUAAUACAUCCCCAAGCCCUUUUUUCAUCUGCUUAUGCAGGGUUAGAAUCUGGGGCACCCUGGUAUCUUCCUGUAUCCUAUGCUCUUGCUGCCUACCGUUUUUGGGGUUCACUGACAAAUCCUUGCUGACUGGAGUCGGGGUGUGUGGAGUGGAUCACUUCAAUUCAUGCCAGGAGAAGAAUCAUUAGAUUCUAAAUGCAUUCAGAAGACAGGGGGCAGAGAGACAGACUCGGAGGAUCACAGAGGCUCCUCAAAGCUGGUUUUGCAAAGCUGUGACAGAAAGCCUCAGAAAAGCACUGGAAGGCUGGCUUCUGCUUCAAUCUAUCAUGAGAAGCCAUCAAGAUGUUGCCUUUCUUGUACUGCCAUUAAAAAUGCAACAUCUGGCUUUAAAAUAUACUAGUCUUUCUGCCUUUCUUUCCCAACCUGGUCUCCUCCCUGUCAGCACUCUCCUGCAAUCUUUUUUUUUCUGUCACCCACACAUACACACACACACACACAC
rnacentral:lncRNA from 1 species